GCGGCCAAGGAGAUAGGGCUAGAGCGUCGCUGCUCCUUAAGCUCGCUGCCCAGUACUCCUCCAGCAGUCUGACGAUAGAGACGCAACCUAGAGCGCCUCCUACCCUCACUCUCUGUAACCAUAGAGAAUGAGUAUAGAGUGCCCCCGCUGGCAGGCCCCCUCUAUCCCUGCUGAGAGACCUCCACUAAACUGGAGUCCUCCCCAUAGGGACAUUUCCCCCCAAUCCGUGGGGGCUUCAGGGCUGGAAUCAAAUAUUUACUGUCAAGAAAUGCAAACCCACCAUCACUAUGACAACCACCCGGGGAAGGGACCCCUCAUCUUGGCGACCCAGCCUGAGGGCUUGGGAGUGGCCGAACUGCGCCAGGAGAGCCCACAGGUGGCCUGUACCUUCUUGGUGCCUGGCCUCAGGGCCUGUGAGGCAACAGCCCCAUGCAAGGCCUUGUGCUGUGUGGGGUUGGCACCUAAAAACCAGCCUCAGCCUUUCUCACACGGGAGCCUGGGCACUCACCUUGCCCCCCUGCUACAAUGGGCUAGUGAAAUGCUGGGGAUUUUCUCCUCAGAUGAACCCUCCCAUACCCCACCCAGCCUUGAGGAUUCUCUCUGCCUUUGGAAAGAAGAGACAAUAUUGACAUCAAAUACAUUUAAUGAGAAAAGUGACCAGUCCUCUAUGUAAAGUGAAUCCAGGCAAUACUUCCAAAGGGGGGUAUUCACUCUGUGCGCUACCAAAAAUCCAGAGAUGUUCCAAGGCAACCCUGGAGAGCUAAGGAAAUCCCAGAAAUCCUGUAUCUCAAGCUUUUGGUGAGGAUAGAUAUGGCACUCAGUUUAUGACACAAUGAUAUUUUUCACAACCUGUGGUGAUGGUUUUGGAAGCAUCCUCACCACAUUGCAGCAUGAUGACCAAUUAACAUAGCAUGACUAUGUUCUGAAACAAGUUUUGAUCCUAUUGUGCUGUGAAAGAUCAACACAGCAACUUGACAGAUAUGUUUAGCCCACAAUGGACAAGAUCAGCAAUCUUGCCUCUCAAUCUGAUAUAAUACUAAAUACAAAUCCUGACUAGCAUAUAUAAUCUGCUGCAGUGGUUCUCAACAUGGGGGUACUUAGAAGUCUUCCAGGAGUACAUCAACUCAUCUAGACAUUUGCCUAGUUUUACAUCAGACUACAUAAAAAGCACUAGCAAAGUCAGUACAAACUAAAAUUUCAUACAGACAAUUACUGCUUAUACUGCUCCAUAUACUAUACAAUGAAAUAUCAGAUUUCCCAAGCUCAGCUAGCUCUGGAGUUUUACGAGUGAAGCCCAGGAGUUGAUCUUGAAGGAAGGGGAAGUAAAAUUAGGGCACCCUCAAUGCAGCCUGAAGGCCAAAUGCAGCCAUCCUCUACUUAUAACCGUAAGCUGGACAGCAAACAUGAUUGACUGCACUGACCCAAUUCCCUUCCUGCAGUAUAUGAGGGACAAAAAUCGGUACCUCAGAGUCUCAUGAUGUUUACAUCACGGUUCUGUGGCAUUGAGUCGCCAUGUCGGCCUCACACUAUGAUGACAUUGCAUCAGCCCCUGAGAUAUUUAAGGGCUCUUAAUCAUAUAUUGGCUGCUGCUGUCGAAGACAGGAUGUUGGACAAAAUGGAUCACAGGUCUGAUCUAGUAUGACAAUUCGUAUGUGCCUGAGAGUAAUUUGGGAGAGUUUAUUAUCCUUUGGAGACUCUGCAGCUUGCUGCUCAACUUCCAUACUCAUGGACCCUGGAGGAAAAAUCUCUCAAAGCAGCAUCUGACUUUUUUGUAAAGUACUGAUGAGUUAGACAUUUGUUAAGAGUUUAGUGAUUAACCUAAUGUACUUUAAUAAGAGGAAUUAAAACAU